CCUCUUUCUUUCCUCUGUCCACUACUACUACUACUACUACUACUACUACUACUACUACUACUACUACUACUACUACUACUAUUACUACUACUACUACUACUACUACUACUGCAGGCUGGGCAGCAGUGGUGGCCAACUUGGAGGACAUUGUGGCAGCCUUCAGAACAAGACAUGACGCAUUCCAGCAAAAUUUUGUGGAGUAUCUCAGUGGCCCGGAGGAGAAGGUCGCCCUGCUUCAGUCUUUUGAAGAGGACCUUAAGCUACUGGCAAGGAUUCCAGUCUUCCCUGAACUCUUGGGGAAGACACAAGAGGAAGAGGAAGAGGAAGAAGCUGGGAAGAAGAGGAGGACAAGCACAGCACAGAAGAAAGAGGAGGAGGAAGAGAAGGAAGAGGAGGAGAAGGAGGAGGAGGAAGAGGAGGAAGAGCAGGAGGAGGAGAAAAGAGGAGGAGAAGGAGGAAAAAGAGAAAUGAGGCAAGUGUUGCUGCUGGACUGGAUCAGCGCCAAGGACAGCCAAAGUGACGUCAGAUUGCCCAACUCUGCUGCAGGGGACUGGCUCAGUUUUGAAGAAGAGGAGGAGGAAGAGGAAGAGGAAGGAGGAGGAGGAGGAGGAGGAGGAGGAGGGUUAGGUGUGGCCCUCCCUCCCCCUCCCACACCACUGCAGUCCCAGCCUCUGAUUGGCCAGCCCUCAGCCAAUCAGGAGAGAGACUUUAUGGCCUUACAGGUGGAGGAAGGCCGAAGGGAACUGGAGGAGGAGAGAAAGAGGCACAGGCUGGAGGUUGAAAACAAAAGGUCUAGAUUUAGAAUGAUGACAACGACCACAGCCACCACCAGCACCUCCCCCACUAGCCUGCCUUUCUCUUCAAGUCCCAGCGAGGAGCACCCGCCCUCCUCCCCAGCCUCCUCUCUCAACAGAUGGGAGGGCCUGGACAGACUGAGAGAGGAACUGAUGAAAGAGAGAGAGAUAGAGAUUGAAGAGAGAAUUGCAAGUGUAAGAGAGGAAGAAAGGAGGAAAUUAGAUGACGAAAAACAGAUAGAGAUUGAAGAGAGAAUUGCAAGUGUAAGAGAGGAAGAAAGGAGGAAAUUAGAUGACGAAAAACAGAAGCAGUUGGCCAAAAUAAUAAUGUCAGAAGUAAGACAAAGCUUUGAAGAAAGAACAUCUGUCAUAAAGUGUUACUGGAGGCACGAAAAUGUCAAAGAAGUGCAAAGACAAUUCAGAAGACACUUUGACAGGGAUCCACCCAGGUGACGCACCAUUGCUCGCAUCACAGCUAAAUUUGCAUCAACCAGCAGCAGCAGCAGCAGCAGCAUGUCAGUAGUAGCAGGAGUAGUGAAUGGUCACUCGUAUGUGGUGACUACUUGGACUAUCAGGCCGCCCUUGUAGUGUGCUGGACUAUUGGUCAACAAGGAGCCCUGAAAGUUACGUGGUACAACUAUUUCGGCGAUAGUAAUGGCUUUGCAGAAAGGGAUCUGAUGAUGUCCUCCAAAGCAAUAUAAUACCACCAUUGCUAGUCCUGUUUGGUUAUCCCAUUAACAAAAAAAAAAAAAAAACUUAUAAGAAUAAAAAGUUUGCAAGGUCCUGUAUUGCAGUAAGUGGUGGUGGACAACAGUGUGAAAGUUUGUGUUUUAUCUCUUCAUAAUUUACUUAUGCAUACAUUUUGUAUUUAGCACUAUGAAAGUUGAUAGCAAGUUUUUUGCAUGCAGGUCGUGGUGCUUUAAAAUCAGGACAUUUUUUUAAUUUGUCAAAUCAUUACACAAAUGUACACUCCUCAGAACCAGGAUAUAGAAUUGGAUGUGAAAUUGAUGGCUGUUCUAGAUCAUACAAAUCUGUAAAGUAUCUACUAAGACACAUUCGUUCACAUCACGCAUUAUUUUAUAAUUGCCAUCUUAAUAGAGUGAG